GAUGAACGCUGGCGGCGUGCUUAACACAUGCAAGUCGAACGGAGUUUUAGUGAUUGAUUGAUUUAGCUUGCUAUUGAGAGAUUUUGCUAAAACUUAGUGGCGGACGGGUGAGUAACGCGUGGGUAACCUGCCGUAUACAGGGGGACAACAGUUGGAAACGACUGCUAAUACCGCAUAAGCGCACAGUACUGCAUGGUACAGUGUGAAAAACUCCGGUGGUAUACGAUGGACCCGCGUCUGAUUAGCUAGUUGGUGAGGUAACGGCCCACCAAGGCGACGAUCAGUAGCCGGCCUGAGAGGGUGAACGGCCACAUUGGGACUGAGACACGGCCCAAACUCCUACGGGAGGCAGCAGUGGGGAAUAUUGCACAAUGGGGGGAAACCCUGAUGCAGCGACGCCGCGUGAGUGAAGAAGUAUUUCGGUAUGUAAAGCUCUAUCAGCAGGGAAGAAAAUGACGGUACCUGACUAAGAAGCCCCGGCUAACUACGUGCCAGCAGCCG
rnacentral:rRNA from 1 species